rnacentral:tRNA from 1 species
GAUAGCUCAGUCGGUAGAGCGACGGACUGUUAAUCCGCAGGUCGCUGGUUCGAGCCCAGCUC